CUUCAGCAGCUUUGGAGAAGCAUCAGCUGAGAGGAGCUAUCACAUGGGAGCCGGGAGCUGCUCAGCAAAGGUAGGAGUUGCCGACUAGGCCAGGAAUGGGGGCCAGUCCGAUGGCCUGAUGGUGAUCUCUUCCAAAUGGGAGCCCCAGAACACUGACAGACAUUUUUAGAGAUGGUUCAAGUUCAAUGACUAUUCAUCGAAUGCCUACUGCGUUCCAGCCGCCGUGGGGGGCACCGUCUGGUGGGUAGAGUACUGGCCCUGGAGCCCGAGCGCUUGGGCUGCGGGUACAUACGCAGACCUUGCCACUUUUGAUGUCUUUGUGAGGAAACUGAAGUUCACAAGAGUCACAGAGUUAGCAAUUCCCAGACCUGAAACUGGAAACCAGAUCCUGUGUCCCUUCUACUCCCCAACAGCUCUGCCAUUUGGAGAGUCAAGAAAUCGGGAAAUUUACAUAAGCAACUUUAAAACUGGGGCACCAUCCUGGAGCUCAGCGGGACCCCGGGAGAGGGAGAAAGAGGAUUUAGAAUCUCUGGAUAACAAUCCCUGAGAGGGGAGAAGGGUAUGGAGAACAGAGGAAAGGAAAAGAAACAAGGAGCCCGAGACCACUCAGAAGGUGGAGUGUUGAGUGAGUGAGGCUCCAGCAUCUCUCACAUCUCCUGCUUCUUCGAUGUCACCAAGGUGGACCAGAGCCACCACCUUCCAGAAAGGAGAGAUGAGCUUCUGAGCCCUCCGUUCCCUAUGCACAGUCUGACUUGGGAGGCUGGCGGUAAGAGCCUGUCCAGGAGGCUCCAGCAGGAGGCGCCCUCCCCCCACACCCCCACACACCAAAUUGGGAAGCCUGGGCCUGGGCUGGCCAUCCCAGGGUCACUGGACUAGGAUGGGGGAUGGGCCUGUGACGGGAGGUGCCCUGGGUGUCCUCUUCCGGCCCCAUGGAGUCCUCUCCCAUCCCCCAGUCAUCAGGGAACUCUUCCACUCUGGGGAGGGUCCCUCAAACACCAGGUCCCUCUACUGCCAGUGGGGUCCCAGAGGUGGGGCUGCGGGACGUGGCCUCAGAAUCUGUGGCCCUCUUCUUCAUGCUCCUGCUGGACUUGAUCGCUGUGGCUGGCAACGCCGCUGUGAUGGCUGUUAUCGCCAAGACACCUGCCCUCCGAAAAUUCGUCUUCGUCUUCCACCUGUGCCUGGUGGACCUGUUGGCCGCCCUGACCCUCAUGCCCCUGGCCAUGCUCUCCAGCUCUGCCCUCUUUGACCAUGACCUCUUUGGGGAGGUCGCCUGCCGCCUCUACUUGUUCCUGAGCAUAUGCUUCGUAAGCCUGGCCAUUCUCUCGGUGUCGGCCAUCAACGUGGAGCGCUACUAUUACGUUGUCCACCCCAUGCGCUACGAGGUGCGCAUGACGCUGGGGCUGGUGGCCUCUGUGCUGGUGGGUGUGUGGGUGAAAGCCUUGGCCAUGGCUUCUGUGCCAGUGUUGGGAAGGGUCUCCCGGGAGGAGGGAGCGCCCAGCACCCCCCCAGGCUGCUCACUCCAAUGGAGCCACAGUGCCUACUGCCAGCUUUUCGUGGUGGUCUUUGCUGCUCUUUACUUUUUGUUGCCUCUGCUCCUUAUCCUUGUGGUUUACUGCAGCAUGUUCCGAGUAGCUCGAGUGGCUGCCAUGCAGCACGGACCGCUGCCCACGUGGAUGGAGACGCCCCGGCAACGCUCCGAGUCUCUCAGCAGCCGCUCCACCAUGGUCACCAGCUCGGGGGCUCCCCAGACCACUCCGCACCGGACGUUUGGGGGAGGGAAGGCUGCGGUGGUCCUCCUAGCUGUGGGGGGACAGUUCCUGCUCUGUUGGUUGCCCUACUUUUCUUUCCACCUCUACGUGGCCCUGAGUGCUCAGCCCAUUUCGACUGGGCAGGUGGAGAACGUGGUGACCUGGAUCGGCUACUUCUGCUUCACUUCCAACCCUUUCUUCUAUGGAUGUCUCAACCGGCAGAUCCGGGGCGAGCUCAGCAAGCAGUUCGUCUGCUUCUUCAAGCCGGCUCCGGAGGAGGAGCUGAGGCUACCUAGCCGGGAGGGCUCCAUUGAGGAGAACUUCCUGCAGUUCCUUCAGGGUACUGGCUGUCCCUCCGAGUCCUGGGUUUCCCGACCCGUACCCAGCCCCAAGCAGGAGCCACCUGCCGUUGACUUUCGAAUUCCAGGCCAGAUAGCUGAGGAGACCUCGGAGUUCCUGGAGCAACAACUCACCAGCGACAUCAUCAUGUCGGACAGCUACCUCCGGCCUGCCCCCUCACCUCGACUGGAAUCCUGAUGGGCUUCUGGACACUUAGAGGGAGAUGGGGCUGGGGCCAUUGACGACUGAAGGAACAUCUUGUGGGAUCACCUUUUCCCAGCUAGCAGGGGCUGGGGCUGGGGUCUCUGCACACAGCUUUUGCUUAGCUUUUUCUGGGUCAGGAACAAUGCCAACAGGAUGAACGUGUGGCAAAAGCCUUGGACAUGGCUCUGAUCCUUGACUACUGGGGGAGGGAACCUGGUGAGAUGGUAAUGAGAAUAAACGGUCACCAAGGAUUGGCCUCCCUGAUCUCUCUCCUCAUGGCAGUGACCCACCUCCAGCCCCCUGGACAAUCGGGUACAAGAGACUAAGGUUGGGAAUGGGAAGGGUGGGGUUUCCAUGGUCCAUUAAAUGCCCCCCUUAUCCCAUUCAUCGCUCUCAAAAUUAGCUUCAGUGACAAAAGACUUAAAUCUCUCUCCUACCCGAAGCCCUGGGUUGGAGAGAGGGCACAAGAGUUGGGUUCAGCUGUUUACUGAUUGAGACUAUAGGAACUUGUUGGUUGGUAUUGGUGGUGGUAUUUUCAAGCAGGGGGAAUAGUUGAAAAUUGGACAGGACACUCAUCUGGGACUACCUGUCCAUCCACUUCCCUCUGUUGAAUCAAAUAACACUAAAGGAUUGAGGCAGGACCAGAGGGUGGUUUGAUCUGUAUUUGAACAAAUUCCUGACUCAUUGAACAUUAAAGGGUAAGAUGGGCUGGUGGGAGUGGGCCCUUUGAAUGGCCAAUAAAUAAUUUUUAUUAUAAAAAGUUAUACUGAUAUCAACAUUUCCUAUUUUAGUCCAAUUCAGUACAUAAUAGUUGAAUACCCAGUAUUCUCUGGGACCCACACAGAGUCACUGCCUUUGAGGAGUUCAUAGUCUAAUUUGAUCAGGCACCUUGUAUUUUUACAGAGCAUUUAUAUCUGGUAAAACACUAAAGAAUGUUGGAGAAAUAUAUUAAAGAACACAUUGCAGUUCAGUCCACUGCAGCAAGAUACUUACAUGGAAACUUCCUGUGGGCUGUGGAAGGUGUGAGGGUUGUAAAUGAAACCCUAGUUGAGGAAAAUAAUUUACUUACUGAGACUGAGCAAAUCUCCCUUUAGAUCUAGGAAAAUUUACAGGUUUCUGUCUUCCUACCACCAGACUUACUCUAGUCUAGGACCCAUUACACUGAGGAAAUCCCUUAGAUAGUAUAUAUACCAAGGAGAAUCUUUUGUGACUGAAAAACACGUUCUCCUCGCUUUCCUCCCUUUUAAGAUAAACCUGUUAAGGGAGGAACCUCAUUCCUAGAUAACAGGAAAAAACCUCUUCAAACAUCAUUGAUCAGCUAGUAGGCCCUAAGCAUUGCCAGCAGGUGGCAGUGUGAGUCCAAUGGAAACAGGAAAGGUGCGCGUUGGGGAGGGGGGCUGUGGGGAGAGGGAACGGGGAAAGGGGAGGACAUUAAACAUUGCCUGGCAGCCAUUUUGUUAAUUUAUUUUUCCUUUUCCUUUGACUUUGCCCUCCAACCCUUCCUUCAGAUAUAUCAAAAAAGAAUUUUAAGUGCAAGGAUAUCUCUAAUUCAGGCUGAAAUCUCCUGACACUGUGAUCUCACUGGCAUUUAUUACAGAAUUUGACACAUGCUGGUU